rnacentral:lncRNA from 1 species
GACAGGAAGUGGGAUGGUCCUGAGCUGAAAAUGUCGGAAUUGUCAUGGUAAUGCCCAUAGUUGAUGUGACAGAUACUGAGAAGGAAAAACACGCUUGCCACAUGUGAAAACUGCCUGGUUGGUUCUGCUCUGAGUGCCUCUCUGGAGGGCACAUUGAUGGAUUUGACAAUCACUUAAUUCUACUAGAGCCUGACCUUCAGUCUGGAAGUCAGAUAUACGCAGCAGAGACGUAGAUGAUAGCCGCAGGCUGCUGCUGGUGGGAAGCUGACAGAGUCCACUUUAAAGGACUGCCUUCAGUACCAUCUACAUUCUUCUACCUGGGACUGUGUGUGGCCAUGCGGACAGGCUCUCACCUUCACUAAACAAUUCAACUGCUGAAUUCCAACUAUCACGACAACCAUUUACACCAGUAAAAUGAACCAGAGAAGUCAGUGUAUCAGAACCUAAGACGGGAAAACUCUAUUGGAUUUCCUUUUACCUUAACUCUUAGAUGUUAUGUUUCUCUUGAAGGGAAACCAUCAGAUCUGUGAAUGUGUGAUGAAUAAAACAAUCCUUUCAAAGGAAAAAAAAA